rnacentral:rRNA from 1 species
GACGAACCGUGCGAACGUUGUUCGGAAUCACUGGGCUUAAAGGGCGCGUAGGCGGGUCGAAAAGUCCGUGGUGAAAUCCCCCCGCUCAACGGGGGAACGGCCGCGGAUACUGUCGGCCUCGAGGGAGGUAGGGGCGAGCGGAACUCUGCGUGGAGCGGUGAAAUGCGUUGAUAUGCAGAGGAACUCCGGUGGCGAAGGCGGCCCGCUGGACCCCAUCUGACGCUGAGGCGCGAAAGCCAGGGGAGCGAACGGG